UCCGGCUUGUCACCGGCAGUCUCGCAUGAGUCCCCAACUAAAUGCUGGCAACAUGCGACAGGGGUUGCGCUCGUUGCGAGACUUAACCCAACAUCUCACGACACGAGCUGACGACAGCCAUGCAGCACCUGUGUGCAGGUCCCCGAAGGGAAGGAAUCCAUCUCUGGAAGCCGUCCUGCCAUGUCAAGGGCUGGUAAGGUUCUGCGCGUUGCUUCGAAUUAAACCACAUGCUCCGCCGCUUGUGCGGGUCCCCGUCAAUUCCUUUGAGUUUUAGCCUUGCGGCCGUACUCCCCAGGCGGAGUGCUUAAUGCGUUAGCUGCGGCACAGAGAGGGUUGAAGACCUCCCCACACCUAGCACUCAACGUUUACGGCUGGGACUAC
rnacentral:misc_RNA from 1 species